ACGAGGUGGUGGCAGCAGAUGCCCUGGGGGAUUUAAGCCAUGUCCAAAGAGUGGCCCAACAAAGGCCCUGGGCAGGGAUGCUGUUGGGCUCCGAGCCUAGUGAGCAAGGGGAGACGCAGGUCCAAGGAAGAUCCACGGAAAACAUCCUGGGGUCCUGAGCUGAAGUGUGAUGGGAGGAGUCCUCUGCAUCUCAGUCCGAGCCUGGCCUCCCUCCCAGCCAUGGUCUCACACUAGUGCUGCCAGGAAACCAUCCCUCAUAGCCAGUCCUAGCAUCGAGCAGUGUCUCUGGUCCAACUGUUGUCCACCUCAAGGGUUUAGCCGCUUAGAUUUUCCUAACACUUGAAUUUCAUUUUUCUCUAGCCAUGGAAUACAGAUUAAUCCUUUACAGUUAAAAUCCAAGUUCAGAUUUUA